AAGAUUCUUCUUCAAUUACGAGCAUACCAUCCAUGAUAAGGAACCAGAAUUGAAGAAUGCAGCAGAUGCCCCACCACACUAUUCAACUUGUGAUCAUUUGAAAAGCUUCCAUGACCACUGCAAAUUAAGAAACCAAAAUCCAAAAAUUUAACACCAAAAUCCAAACUUUGAGCAAAAGAAACGAAGACCCCAGAUCUAAAAAGAAGAAAUUUCGUUACCAAUCAUGACCGAGCACAAAAAGAGCCCAAAACAUGGUUCCCUGAGCAGCCCAGUACAAAGGCCAAACAACC
rnacentral:lncRNA from 1 species